ACUUAAGUUCGAUUCUUCGGAUGAGGACUUUUGUGACUGAGCGGCGGACGGGUGAGUAACGCGUGGGUAACCUGCCUCAUACAGGGGGAUAACAGUUAGAAAUGGCUGCUAAUACCGCAUAAGACCACAGUACUGCAUGGUACAGUGGUAAAAACUCUGGUGGUAUGAGAUGGACCCGCGUCUGAUUAGGUAGUUGGUGAGGUAACGGCUCACCAAGCCGACGAUCAGUAGCCGACCUGAGAGGGUGACCGGCCACAUUGGGACUGAGACACGGCCCAGACUCCUACGGGAGGCAGCAGUGGGGAAUAUUGCACAAUGGGCGGAAGCCUGAUGCAGCGACGCCGCGUGAAGGAUGAAGUAUUUCGGUAUGUAAACUUCUAUCAGCAGGGAAGAAAAUGACGGUACCUGACUAAGAAGCCCCGGCUAACUACGUGCCAGCAGCCGCGGUAAUACGUAGGGGGCAAGCGUUAUCCGGAUUUACUGGGUGUAAAGGGAGCGUAGACGGCUGUGCAAGUCUGAAGUGAAAGGCAUGGGCUCAACCUGUGGACUGCUUUGGAAACUGUGCAGCUAGAGUGUCGGAGAGGUAAGUGGAAUUCCUAGUGUAGCGGUGAAAUGCGUAGAUAUUAGGAGGAACACCAGUGGCGAAGGCGGCUUACUGGACGAUGACU
rnacentral:rRNA from 1 species